GUGCCAGCCGCCGCGGUAAUACGGAGGGUGCAAACGUUGCUCGGAAUCAUUGGGCGUAAAGCGCACGUAGGUGGCCUGUUAAGUCGGGUGUGAAAUCCCUGGGCUCAACCCAGGAAGUGCACUCGAAACUGGCAGGCUUGAGUACUGAAGAGGGUAGCGGAAUUCCCGGUGUAGCGGUGAAAUGCGUAGAGACCGGGAAGAACACCAGUGGCGAAGGCGGCUACCUGGGCCAAUAUUGACGCUGAGGUGCGAAAGCGUGGGGAGCAAACAGGAUUAGAUACCCCAGUAGUCC
rnacentral:rRNA from 1 species